UGUGUUUGUGUGGCUGUGUGUGUGUGUGUGUGUGUGCGUGCGCACACACACACACAUACACACACAUACAUAUU
rnacentral:miRNA from 1 species